GUCAUUGAAGAGCUGCUUGACGAGCUGCAUGGGGCAGCAUGGUUCUCCAAGCUGGACCUCCGCGCGGGCUAUCAUCAAAUACGCCUCGCGCCAGGGGAGGAGCACAAGACAGCUUUCUCCACGCACCAGGGCCACUUUGAGUUCCGCGUGGUUUCAUUCGGCCUCACCGGCGCACCACCCACAUUCCUGGGUGCAAUCCACGGCACGCUCAAACCAGUAGUCAGAGUCUGCGUGAUAUGCUUCUUCGACGAUAUCCUGAUCUUCAGCGCUACGCUGGAGGAGCACGUGACACAUGUCAGACAGGUGUUGUAA
rnacentral:rRNA from 1 species